UACGUAGGGUGCGAGCGUUAAUCGGAAUUACUGGGCGUAAAGCGUGCGCAGGCGGUUUUGUAAGCCAGAUGUGAAAUCCCCGGGCUUAACCUGGGAACUGCAUUUGUGACUGCAUGGCUGGAGUGCGGCAGAGGGGGAUGGAAUUCCGCGUGUAGCAGUGAAAUGCGUAGAUAUGCGGAGGAACACCGGUGGCGAAGGCGGGUCUCUGGGCAAUUCCUGACGCUGAGGCGCGAAAGCGUGGGGAGCAAACGGG
rnacentral:rRNA from 1 species